CAGGUUCCUACGGGAGGCUGCAAUCGAGAAUCCUCCGCAAUGGGCGAAAGCCUGACGGGGUGACGCCGCGUGACCGAUGAAGGCUCUUACGGGUCGUAAAGGUCUUACAGGGAGUAUGAAAUAUACUGGGGCUAAUAUCUCCAGUAUUUGACGUCAAUCUCAAAUGAAGUCACGGCUAAAUUUGUGCCAGCAGCCGCGGUAAGACAAAUGUGGCAAGCGUUGUUCGGAAUCACUGGGCAUAAAGGGCACGUAGGCGGCGUAGUAAGUUAACUGUGAAAUCCCCCGGCUCAACCGGGGAACUGCAGUUAAUACUGCUGUGCUAGAGUGCAGAAGAGGAGAGUGGAAUUCUAGGUGUAGCGGUGGAAUGCGAAGAUAUCUAGGAGAAGGCCGGUGGCGAAAGCGACUCUCUGGUCUGUUACUGACGCUGAGGUGCGAGAGCGCAGGUAGCGAACGGGAUUAGAUACCCCGGUAGUCUGUGCCGUAAACGAUGGGCACUAGAUGGUGGAGGCGCCGAUAGCUUUCUCCGUCGCAGCUAAUACGUUAAGUGCCCCGCCUGGGGAGUAUGGCCGCAAGGUUAAAACUCAAAGGAAUUGACGGGGGCCCACACAAGCGGUGGAGGAUGUGGCUUAAUUCGAGGAUACCCGUAAAACCUUACCGAGGCUUGACAUGCAGGUGGUAGUGAAGUGAAAGCGGAACGACCCGAAUAGGGAGCCUGCACAGGUGCUGCAUGGCUGUCGACAGCUCGUGUCGUGAGAUGUUAGGUUAAGUCCUGUAACGAGCGAAACCCUUGUGCUUAAUUGCCAGCGCGUUAUGGCGGGGACCUUAAGCAGACUGCCCCGGCCAACGGGGAGGAAGGUGGGGAUGACGUCAAGUCAGCAUGGCCUUUAUGCCUCGGGCUGCACACGUCCUACAAUGGGCUGUACAAUGGGGACCCAAACCGCAAGGUGGAGGAAAUCCUAUAAAGCAGUCCUCAGUUCGGAUUGCAGGCUGAAUUCGCCUGCAUGAAGAUGGAAUCGCUAGUAAUCGCCGGUCAGCAUACGGCGGUGAAUACGUCCCUGG
rnacentral:rRNA from 1 species